CGAACGGGUGAGUAAUGCGUGACCAACCUGCCCCAUGCUCCAGAAUAGCUCUUGGAAACGGGUGGUAAUGCUGGAUGCUCCAACUUGACGCAUGUCUUGUUGGGAAAGUGUUUAGUGGCAUGGGAUGGGGUCGCGUCCUAUCAGCUUGUAGGCGGGGUAAUGGCCCACCUAGGCUUCGACGGGUAGCCGGCCUGAGAGGGCGGACGGCCACAUUGGGACUGAGAUACGGCCCAGACUCCUACGGGAGGCAGCAGGGC
rnacentral:rRNA from 1 species